CCAUUCUAAUGCAAGAUAUAAAAUUGGAACGAUACAGAGAAAAUUGACAAGAUGGCCCUUGUGCAAGGAUGACAUCCAUCAUAUAUAGAAAGGGUAAUUGUUU
rnacentral:snRNA from 2 species